CCCUGGCAGUCAGAGGCGAUGAAGGACGUGCUAAUCUGCGAUAAGCGUCGGUAAGGUGAUAUGAACCGUUAUAACCGGCGAUUUCCGAAUGGGGAAACCCAGUGUGAUUCGUCACACUAUCAUUAACUGAAUCCAUAGGUUAAUGAGGCGAACCGGGGGAACUGAAACAUCUAAGUACCCCGAGGAAAAGAAAUCAACCGAGAUUCCCCCAGUAGCGGCGAGCGAACGGGGAGGAGCCCAGAGCCUGAAUCAGUGUGUGUGUUAGUGGAAGCGUCUGGAAAGGCGCGCGAUACAGGGUGACAGCCCCGUACACAAAAAUGCACAUACUGUGAGCUCGAUGAGUAGGGCGGGACACGUGGUAUCCUGUCUGAAUAUGGGGGGACCAUCCUCCAAGGCUAAAUACUCCUGACUGACCGAUAGUGAACCAGUACCGUGAGGGAAAGGCGAAAAGAACCCCGGCGAGGGGAGUGAAAAAGAACCUGAAACCGUGUACGUACAAGCAGUGGGAGCACAGAGCAAUCUGUGUGACUGCGUACCUUUUGUAUAAUGGGUCAGCGACUUAUAUUCUGUAGCAAGGUUAACCGAAUAGGGGAGCCGAAGGGAAACCGAGUCUUAACUGGGCGUUAAGUUGCAGGGUAUAGACCCGAAACCCGGUGAUCUAGCCAUGGGCAGGUUGAAGGUUGGGUAACACUAACUGGAGGACCGAACCGACUAAUGUUGAAAAAUUAGCGGAUGACUUGUGGCUGGGGGUGAAAGGCCAAUCAAACCGGGAGAUAGCUGGUUCUCCCCGAAAGCUAUUUAGGUAGCGCCUCGUGAAUUCAUCUCCGGGGGUAGAGCACUGUUUCGGCAAGGGGGUCAUCCCGACUUACCAACCCGAUGCAAACUGCGAAUACCGGAGAAUGUUAUCACGGGAGACACACGGCGGGUGCUAACGUCCGUCGUGAAGAGGGAAACAACCCAGACCGCCAGCUAAGGUCCCAAAGUCAUGGUUAAGUGGGAAACGAUGUGGGAAGGCCCAGACAGCCAGGAUGUUGGCUUAGAAGCAGCCAUCAUUUAAAGAAAGCGUAAUAGCUCACUGGUCGAGUCGGCCUGCGCGGAAGAUGUAACGGGGCUAAACCAUGCACCGAAGCUGCGGCAGCGACACUGUGUGUUGUUGGGUAGGGGAGCGUUCUGUAAGCCUGUGAAGGUGUGCUGUGAGGCAUGCUGGAGGUAUCAGAAGUGCGAAUGCUGACAUAAGUAACGAUAAAGCGGGUGAAAAGCCCGCUCGCCGGAAGACCAAGGGUUCCUGUCCAACGUUAAUCGGGGCAGGGUGAGUCGACCCCUAAGGCGAGGCCGAAAGGCGUAGUCGAUGGGAAACAGGUUAAUAUUCCUGUACUUGGUGUUACUGCGAAGGGGGGACGGAGAAGGCUAUGUUGGCCGGGCGACGGUUGUCCCGGUUUAAGCGUGUAGGCUGGUUUUCCAGGCAAAUCCGGAAAAUCAAGGCUGAGGCGUGAUGACGAGGCACUACGGUGCUGAAGCAACAAAUGCCCUGCUUCCAGGAAAAGCCUCUAAGCAUCAGGUAACAUCAAAUCGUACCCCAAACCGACACAGGUGGUCAGGUAGAGAAUACCAAGGCGCUUGAGAGAACUCGGGUGAAGGAACUAGGCAAAAUGGUGCCGUAACUUCGGGAGAAGGCACGCUGAUAUGUAGGUGAAGUCCCUCGCGGAUGGAGCUGAAAUCAGUCGAAGAUACCAGCUGGCUGCAACUGUUUAUUAAAAACACAGCACUGUGCAAACACGAAAGUGGACGUAUACGGUGUGACGCCUGCCCGGUGCCGGAAGGUUAAUUGAUGGGGUCAGCGCAAGCGAAGCUCUUGAUCGAAGCCCCGGUAAACGGCGGCCGUAACUAUAACGGUCCUAAGGUAGCGAAAUUCCUUGUCGGGUAAGUUCCGACCUGCACGAAUGGCGUAAUGAUGGCCAGGCUGUCUCCACCCGAGACUCAGUGAAAUUGAACUCGCUGUGAAGAUGCAGUGUACCCGCGGCAAGACGGAAAGACCCCGUGAACCUUUACUAUAGCUUGACACUGAACAUUGAGCCUUGAUGUGUAGGAUAGGUGGGAGGCUUUGAAGUGUGGACGCCAGUCUGCAUGGAGCCGACCUUGAAAUACCACCCUUUAAUGUUUGAUGUUCUAACGUGGACCCGUGAUCCGGGUUGCGGACAGUGUCUGGUGGGUAGUUUGACUGGGGCGGUCUCCUCCUAAAGAGUAACGGAGGAGCACGAAGGUUGGCUAAUCCUGGUCGGACAUCAGGAGGUUAGUGCAAUGGCAUAAGCCAGCUUGACUGCGAGCGUGACGGCGCGAGCAGGUGCGAAAGCAGGUCAUAGUGAUCCGGUGGUUCUGAAUGGAAGGGCCAUCGCUCAACGGAUAAAAGGUACUCCGGGGAUAACAGGCUGAUACCGCCCAAGAGUUCAUAUCGACGGCGGUGUUUGGCACCUCGAUGUCGGCUCAUCACAUCCUGGGGCUGAAGUAGGUCCCAAGGGUAUGGCUGUUCGCCAUUUAAAGUGGUACGCGAGCUGGGUUUAGAACGUCGUGAGACAGUUCGGUCCCUAUCUGCCGUGGGCGCUGGAGAACUGAGGGGGGCUGCUCCUAGUACGAGAGGACCGGAGUGGACGCAUCACUGGUGUUCGGGUUGUCAUGCCAAUGGCACUGCCCGGUAGCUAAAUGCGGAAGAGAUAAGUGCUGAAAGCAUCUAAGCACGAAACUUGCCCCGAGAUGAGUUCUCCCUGACCCUUUAAGGGUCCUGAAGGAACGUUGAAGACGACGACGUUGAUAGGCCGGGUGUGUAAGCGCAGCGAUGCGUUGAGCUAACCGGUACUAAUGAACCGUGAGGCUUAACCUUACAACGCCGAAGGUGUUU
rnacentral:rRNA from 1 species